CGGGCAGGAGCUGCACAGCAGCCACCGCUGUGCGCACAACACGCUUCAAAAGGGAGGAAAAGUCCAAAUUCAGGCUCCGCGGUGUUUAGCAAACAGGCUUUGCUUUUAAGUGAUUUGGCCAACAAGAAACACAAACACCGUGGCAAAGCGCAGAAUGAAUUUCUCAUGCUCAGCCUCCCACGCUUUGUGUUCCUGGAUCCAGUUUAUCAUUAAUUGCACAGCUUCCAGUAUUGUUGUGACUUGGCUGCCAAAUUGAAUACAGAUUGUCUGCACUCCCCCUGAUUCAAAUCUGGCACAAAACAGCUGCAACCAUCUCUCAGACUGUACUCCUAAACUGCCUUGGAAAAUACUACAUGAAAGAGAAAUUGAAAUAAUAGAUCCACCUUUAAGAAAAUAUGUCUUGCAUAAAAAAGCCAGGUAUACAUCACAACUUUUGCUGCAGCAGAUAAAGUGGGAAGAGGAUUAAUGGUCUGACAGCUGUUGUAUGUUGGUCACCCUUUACUGUCCACAGUGAAGACUGCGGCAAUAAGAGGCCAGAGUCUCAACAAUGUAGUCCCCAAGAAGAGACAUGAAAAUGGAAUUUGUUUUAAUUAAAAAUGCUAAGUUUUCAUGUGCA